AAGUGUUGUUUUAACAUUUGCUGAGUUAAAUGGUUUCCAGUGUUCGAGUUAUUUUCCAUAAUUGAUUCCAUCGGUGUUGAAUCAACUCUGAUAGGAGGAAAAUAAGCUCCUCCCUCCUUCAUCGUCUUCCUUGGAGUGAAAUUUGAAAACCGCUCCCUCUUUUUUCCUUUUCCUGUUGUUCUAAACGCUAGUUGAAGUGCCCUACAAAAGAUGUCUGGUGGUGAAGAAGUUCUGCAAGAGUCUGGAACAACAGAAACCCUCAGUGAUGCUAUAAGACAAGUGGUGAACAUAUUGAUGGCUCACAGGAUUAAUAAAUAUAGGUGUCUUCCUGCUAAACCAAAAC